CUAUCUGGGGAAGGAGAAGCCAUCGGAUCCUCAUCUCUAUUGAAGGCUCCAGCUAUGGAUGCGGUUGAUACGGGUGUCCCUCACCCCAGCUUUCACACAAGUUUUUCUUCUCACCUUCGGCUGGCCUGCUGAAGCUUUAAACAACCGGCCUCUGGCAGCUUUUAUGAAUAGAAAAGGUGAUGCCGUGUAACUUGUGAGGCCAAAUGCAAUUUCCACUUCUGUUGCUUGUACCGUGCACUCUCAGGAGCCAGCUGCCAGGUGAGAAAUCUGACUAUCCUGAGACCGCCAUGUUGUGAGGAAGCCCAAGCUAGGCACGUGGAAAGACAGAGGCCACAUUGAACAGCCGUAAGACACCAGGUGUGGGUGGGAUCCUUGACUUUCCAGCCUAGUCCAUUUGUCCGUCCAGUGCAGCCAGCCAGCAAUCUCAGCUGAACCCAUUCAGAGAAGACUAUACGAGAGAGCAUGGCCCACCGGGAUUUCUGUGAGGCCAGCACUGGCAGCUCCACAGGGGACAUGGCGAUCACAACCAAUAGUGCUUCUUGGACCCCAGCAGCCUGCAUCCUUGUGGGCAUCUGUUUUCCUCUCCCGUGGGGAUAAAAUCAGGGUCCCUUUUCUGGUGACAUGUAAGCUGAGCUUCCCUGACUCUAGCAGAGGGCACUUGCCAGACGGUCGUCAAAGGUCUCCUUCCCCGUCACCUUGGUUUUGUGAUCCCGUCCCCACAGGAAAGCCCGAGUCUCCGUGUUAAACUUUCUGCAGUCGACACACCUGGGGCUUGCGGCUCUGCCUGAUGACUGGGUUGCUUCCAAAGAGCCAACGGGAGUUGCGGCUUGAGCUGUGAUAACGGCUUCUCGAAGGAAUCCCCACCAUCUACCUUUCUGCUAAUCCAAUCUGGAGUUUGCUGGGGCUUUGAGGGAUUAGUGUUCUCAUCUGGGUUCCCGCUGUGCUCUGUGGGGACAUCCAUUACUGCUGUUUUAUGUUUUGGUCUUCUCCCACGACUCCUCAGUCCCACCCUUGACCCUGAGCUGGGGGGAUAAGGGGACAGCUGAUUGCCUUCAGUUGGAAUUCUUUGUCAAGUUCUGUAUCUGGAUGUUGGUAGAGACACGUCCUUUCUCCCAGCCAGUGGGGAGAGGUCACUGUUUUGCCUCAAAGUUUCUAGCGUGGGUCCCUCAUUCUGAAGGGUUUCCCCACGGGGCCUGGCUAUAUACAGUGUUGGUUGUAUCCUUGUUUGAAUUUGGUUUGCCCUAGUGAGAUGGCCGUCGGAGGCCAACAGCACUUGAUGUCCCUACAGGCAGCCCUUGGUCUGUUCUCUCCCAAAGCCCCUAGCACACUCUGGGUCCAUUCGAGGUGGCAAGGUGUGCCUUCAGGGUGAUGCAGGGGACCUGAGGCCUGGACUCUGAGCCCCUGGGGUAUGGCUUCUACAAUCCCUAUCCAGCCCACGACUGGACACAACUUCCCAUUCCACAAUGUCACUGAGUCCUCAGCCUGCACACACAGUCUCCUGGACUGCAUUUCUGUCAUCUGGCUUGGGGACAGGAGCUCAUUUCCAGUCACACUGUACCGGCGUUCCCAUCUUCCCUCCCUCCUGGCCAUGUUUGUUCAGUCCCUUGUAGACCAAGUGAUUGGGCAGUGGCAUGUCAGCCAGGUUGUGGAGGGAGACAGACACACCAGUGCAGAGCACAGCUGUGCGCCUGGCCUGGUUGGAUGCCACAGCCCCCGCUGUCAUGUCCUCCUCCUGUCCAGCACCUUACUCACCACGGUCAUCAGCAGUGAGUUGGUGACCCGACUCUGCCCAGAGCUACUUCCCAGUGAGCCAGCCGGCUGUCCUUCUGUGUCCUGCCGAGGGCUGGGAGGUGCCUCUGUGCAGAUGAAUGCAUUUCAUCCUCAAGAACCCUUGAUGAGGAAACAGGCCUGAAGAAGUCACUAGCCAAAGGUCACUGGCCGUGAGUGAUAGAGCUGGGAUCUGAACCAUGUGGUCUGUUCUCAGCGAUUUUGCUUGGCAGACUCUCCUGCCUCUCGGACGUCAGUGUGCAUGUGUGUGCGUGCGUGUGUGAAUGUGCAUUAAAAGUCGGGCAGGGGCACAUUAAAAACGAUUUGCAGUGGGAAUCAGUGUUAGUGGACACAGGCAUCUGACAAGAUGGGCAUCACUGGGCGCUCCUGAUGCCAGUUUCCCUUUACCUAAUUAAGGGGAGGAGAAGUUGGGGAGGAGAA